GACGAACGCUGGCGGCGUGCUUAACACAUGCAAGUCGAACGGAAAGGCCCUGCUUUUGUGGGGUGCUCGAGUGGCGAACGGGUGAGUAACACGUGAGUAACCUGCCCUUGACUUUGGGAUAACUUCAGGAAACUGGGGCUAAUACCGGAUAGGAGCUCCUGCUGCAUGGUGGGGGUUGGAAAGUUUCGGCGGUUGGGGAUGGACUCGCGGCUUAUCAGCUUGUUGGUGGGGUAGUGGCUUACCAAGGCUUUGACGGGUAGCCGGCCUGAGAGGGUGACCGGCCACAUUGGGACUGAGAGACGGCCCAGACUCCUACGGGAGGCAGCAGUGGGGAAUAUUGCACAAUGAGCGGAAGCCUGAUGCAGCAACGCCGCGUGCGGGAUAACGGCCUUCGGGUUGUAAACCGCUUUCGCCUGUGACGAAGCGUGAGUGACGGUAAUGGGUACAGAAGCACCGGCUAACUACGUG
rnacentral:rRNA from 1 species